rnacentral:rRNA from 1 species
UGGGGAAUAUUGGACAAUGGGCGAAAGCCUGAUCCAGCCAUGCCGCGUGUGUGAAGAAGGUCUUCGGAUUGUAAAGCACUUUAAGUUGGGAGGAAGGGCAUUAACCUAAUACGUUAGUGUUUUGACGUUACCGACAGAAUAAGCACCGGCUAACUCUGUGCCAGCAGCCGCGGUAAUACAGAGGGUGCAAGCGUUAAUCGGAAUUACUGGGCGUAAAGCGCGCGUAGGUGGGUUGUUAAGUUGGAUGUGAAAUCCCCGGGCUCAACCUGGGAACUGCAUUCAAAACUGACUGACUAGAGUAUGGUAUAGGGUGGUGGAAUUUCCUGUGUAGCGGUGAAAUGCGUAGAUAUAGGAAGGAACACCAGUGGCGAAGGCGACCACCUGGACUAAUACUGACACUGAGUUGCGAAAGCGUGGGGAGCAAACA